CGGGGUAUGGCUCAGUUUGGUUAGAGCGCACGGCUGGGGGCCGUGAGGUCGCAGGUUCGAAUCCUGUUACCCCGACUA
rnacentral:tRNA from 1 species